rnacentral:rRNA from 1 species
GAUGAACGCUGGCGGCGUGCCUAAUACAUGCAAGUCGAGCGAACAGACGAGGAGCUUGCUCCUCUGACGUUAGCGGCGGACGGGUGAGUAACACGUGGAUAACCUACCUAUAAGACUGGGAUAACUUCGGGAAACCGGAGCUAAUACCGGAUAAUAUAUUGAACCGCAUGGUUCAAUAGUGAAAGACGGUUUUGCUGUCACUUAUAGAUGGAUCCGCGCCGCAUUAGCUAGUUGGUAAGGUAACGGCUUACCAAGGCAACGAUGCGUAGCCGACCUGAGAGAGUGAUCGGCCACACUGGAACUGAGACACGGUCCAGACUCCUACGGGAGGCAGCAGUAGGGAAACUUCCGCAAUGGGCGAAAGCAUGACGGAGCAGCGGCGCGUGAGUGAGGAAGGUGUUCGGAUCGUAAAACUCUGUUAUUAGGGAAGAACAAAUGUGUAAGUAACUAUGCACGUCGUGACGGUACCUAAUCAGAAAGCCACGGCUAACUACGUG